rnacentral:misc_RNA from 1 species
GAUGAAGAACGCAGUGAAAUGCGAUAAGUAAUGUGAAUUGCAGAAUUCAGUGAAUCAUCGAAUCUUUGAACGCACCUUGCGCUCCUUGGUAUUCCGAGGAGCAUGCCUGUUUGAGUGUCAUGAAAUUCUCAAACCCAUAAGUCUUUGCGGGCUUACGGGCUUUGGACUUGGAGGCUUGUCGGCGACCGUAAAGUCACAUCGACUCCUCUCAAAUGCAUUAGCUUGAUUCCUUGCGGAUCGGCUCUCGGUGUGAUAAUUGUCUACGCCGUGACCGUGAAGCGUUUUGGCAAGCUUCUAACCGUCUCUAACGAGACAGCUUACUUUGACCUCUGACCUCAAAUCAGGUAGGACUACCCGCUGAACUUAAGCAUAUCAAUAAGCGGAGGA